rnacentral:hammerhead_ribozyme from 1 species
AUCCAGCUGACUAGCCCCACAUAAGACGAAACGCGCAUCCUGGAU